AGAGUUUGAUCAUGGCUCAGGACGAACGCUGGCGGCGUGCUUAACACAUGCAAGUCGAGCGGGAACCUGAGGAGGGGUAACCCUCUUCAGGGGAGAGCGGCGAACGGGUGAGUAUCACGUGGGCAACCUGCCCCGGACACCGGGAUAACCCAGGGAAACCUGGAGCUAAUACCGGAUACUCCGGCGCGAUCGCAUGGUCGCGCCGGGAAAGCUCCGACGGUCCGGGAUGGGCCCGCGGCCUAUCAGCUUGUUGGUGGGGUAACGGCCUACCAAGGCGACGACGGGUAGCUGGUCUGAGAGGACGGCCAGCCACACUGGGACUGAGACACGGCCCAGACUCCUACGGGAGGCAGCAGUGGGGGAUCUUGCGCUAAUGCGCGAAAGCGUGACGCAGCGACGCCGCGUGGGGGAUGAAGGCCCUCGGGUUGUAAACCCCUUUCGGCAGGGACGAAGCGAAAGUGACGGUACCUGCAGAAGAAGUCCCGGCUAACUACGUGCCAGCAGCCGCGGUAACACGUAGGGGACGAGCGUUGUCCGGAUUCAUUGGGCGUAAAGCGCGCGUAGGCGGCUCGGAAAGUCGGUCGUGAAAGGCCGGGGCUCAACCCCGGGACUGCGUCCGAUACUUCCGAGCUGGAGGCAGGUAGGGGAGAUCGGAAUUCCUGGUGUAGCGGUGAAAUGCGCAGAUAUCAGGAGGAACACCGGUGGCGAAGGCGGAUCUCUGGGCCUUGCCUGACGCUGAGGCGCGAAAGCUAGGGGAGCGAACAGGAUUAGAUACCCUGGUAGUCCUAGCC
rnacentral:rRNA from 1 species